GAUGUGACCUUGUUGGAGGAAGUGUGUCACUGGGGCUAGGCUUUGGGGUUUCAGAAAUCCAAGUCAGGCCCAGGGGCUCUUUCUCUUCUUGCUGCCCGCUGAUC
rnacentral:miRNA from 1 species